UACGGAGGGAGCUAGCGUUGUUCGGAAAUACUGGGCGUAAAGCGCACGUAGGCGGCGCAGCAAGUCAGGGGUGAAAGCCCGGGGCUCAACCCCGGAGGGUCUUCCGAAACUGCCGGGCUAGAGUGCGGAAGAGGCAACCGGAAUUCCCAGUGUAGCGGUGAAAUGCGUAGAUAUUGGGAAGAACACCGGAGGCGAAGGCGGGUUGCUGGGCCGACACUGACGCUGAGGCGCGAAAGCCAGGGGAGCAAACGGG
rnacentral:rRNA from 1 species